UGUGCCUUUUCCCUUGUCACCGAGCGAGUGUUUCUGUGGUAUAAAUUCCUAAAAAUGGAAUCGCUUGGUCAAAGGGCAGGUGCAUUGAACAAUCUGACAGCUCUCUGGCAGCAGGUGCGGCCUCCAGGGUCAGGAGUUGCUUUUAAGAAUAGUUGCUAAUGGAGCCCAGUGAGUUCUGGGGACCAGGUGAGUUCUCUGUCCCAGGGGUGUUCCAAAUGGGACACUAAGGAGGGGAGGUGGGAAGAGGGGAUGCCCUCCCCAUCUUGACUCUGUGAUCCCAGUUCUAAUACUGGUGCUCUGCCAUGCCCAUUUUACAGACAGCAAACACUGAGUUCCAGAGAGGUUGAGUCACUUAACUAUAGCUGCCCACCAAGCAGCAUUUGAGCCAUGGUGCCAGCCUGGACUGAGUCUUGGGCUCCACCAUCCUAGCUUCCGGCUCCACACCUCAUGGGUCCUUUCUUUACUGGCUCCUCUCAAAGGCACUCAUGUGCCCUCCAGAGCUUUCUUCUGUCACAUUUCUGAAACUCACCUUCGUGUCCUCGGGUCUUGCCGGUUCCAGAUCUUUGGCUGGUCGGGUUGCAAAACAAACAACCUGUCCCUUUUUCCCUUUGUCAUUUUCGUAUCUGCUUCAUCUCUUGGCAAGAGCAUCUUGUUGUUUACAAAAUUUAUUCUUGUUGAUUUUUAAACUUUCUUUCUGUUUUUGGUUAACAUCACUAUUGUUUCUGGGCGGGGGAAGCAAAACAUCCUUACUAUAAAAUAAAUAAAUUCAAGCAACACUGAAAACUACAAGCAAGAAAAUAAAAAAUCACCAACGCUCCCCACUCAGAGAGGACCAUGGUUAGUGUUUGGGUGAGCCGCAGAUUCUAAUCAUUUCUAACCACCCCCACUAAUGAUAAUGAAAAUCUCUGCCUUUCUCACCACAGGUGGGGCAUAUGAGUCACCAGGGUAGGCCUGAAAAUAGCUGUUAGUUCCCGCCCCUCCAAGACCCCCAUCCUUCACCCCCAGCCUUGCCUGGGACUCCCCUGCUCCUGCUUCCAGGCUGAAGCAGCUGGUCCAGCAGAUCCUGCAGGGUGUGGUACCAACCGAGUUCCCCACCUCCAAAGAGAGUUCCACCCACUCCACACCUCUCACCUUCCAGACCGCAAGAGGCUGAGACCCAGCAGGAAGACAGAUGGCAAAUGGAGGCCCCAAGAAGAGAAGCGCCUGGUGAACACGGUAAGGGACCUGGGGGGUCAACAGUCAUUUAACAAGCUCAACAGCACUGACUUCUUCAGGUGAGCUGGGACCUGGGCGCACAGAGGUCAUCCCACUCUUGACAACACCUGGCUCUGCCUGACCCACAACAGGUCCUGGUCUCCAGUCUCCAUUCCUCCUGGUGUGGGGAAACUGAGUCUCAGAGGGGCAAGACGGAUGGCAUCGUUGCCUAGACCCGGGAGUUGGAUGCCAGCUCCUCCCCUGAAGCCAUUUCUGAGCCUGACCCGUGAGCUCAAGAGAUCUGGGGUCAGGAAAGCAUGUCGUUAAUAAUGGAGGACUCCCUGGGUCACCAGCUGGAAGGGCUUCCUGGCCUAUACUCCCCAUCCCUGCAACUUAAAACCAAGGGUGUCAUUUAA